AUGUGUGCUUACUUGUAUGUUCAUUGUAUGUGUUGACAUGAUAUACAUAACAUAAACACACAUGUAUAUGCAAGCACACACACAGGAAAAAAAUUGCAUUCAUUUAUACAUUUGAAUGAUAU
rnacentral:miRNA from 1 species